GCAGACACCCAGCCACUCUGAGCAGAACUGACAGCAUGAAGGCACUCCUGGCCCUGCCGCUGCUGCUGCUUCUCUCCACGCCCCCGUGUGCCCCCCAGGUCUCCGGGAUCCGAGGAGAUGCUCUGGAGAGGUUUUGCCUUCAGCAACCCCUGGACUGUGACGACAUCUAUGCCCAGGGCUACCAGUCAGACGGCGUGUACCUCAUCUACCCCUCGGGCCCCAGUGUGCCUGUGCCCGUCUUCUGUGACAUGACCACCGAGGGCGGGAAGUGGACGGUUUUCCAGAAGAGAUUCAAUGGCUCAGUGAGUUUCUUCCGCGGCUGGAAUGACUACAAGCUGGGCUUCGGCCGUGCUGAUGGAGAGUACUGGCUGGGUAAGGCAGGGACCAGGUGGGCUGAGGGGCUGCCCCAGGGCCAGGUCCUUGUUGACCAGCUGCCCCUCCUCCCCAGGGCUGCAGAACAUGCACCUCCUGACACUGAAGCAGAAGUAUGAGCUGCGAGUGGACUUGGAGGACUUUGAGAACAACACGGCCUAUGCCAAGUACGCUGACUUCUCCAUCUCCCCGAACGCGGUCAGCGCAGAGGAGGAUGGCUACACCCUCUUUGUGGCAGGCUUUGAGGAUGGCGGGGCAGGUGACUCCCUGUCCUACCACAGUGGCCAGAAGUUCUCUACCUUCGACCGGGACCAGGACCUCUUUGUGCAGAACUGCGCAGCUCUCUCCUCAGGAGCCUUCUGGUUCCGCAGCUGCCACUUUGCCAACCUCAAUGGCUUCUACCUAGGUGGCUCCCACCUCUCUUAUGCCAAUGGCAUCAACUGGGCCCAGUGGAAGGGCUUCUACUACUCCCUCAAACGCACUGAGAUGAAAAUCCGCCGGGCCUGAGGGGCUGGCCCCCUCAGGCACCUUUCCUCCCCUGGACACCCAUGGUC
rnacentral:sRNA from 1 species